AAUAGGAGGCAGCGCGAGCGGGAGGGGAGCGCGGGGGCACCGGCCUGCUCCACCGACUUACGGUUCCUCCUCGGCUUGGAGGGGAAUUGCACGGACUCUCUCUGCCUCUGUUGCUUCAGUGCUGGUGCAAUAAAAGCAUCCAUUAGCCCGGGGGAACCUCUCUUUGCAUUAGGCGGUUUCUCAGCCGGCGCGCGGGCAGGACGGCCGCGCGGCCUCCCCUGGCUUUAUCACCAAACCUGCCCAGCGCGCCACAAACCGAGGCCUCCUCCACGGGAAGCCGACGCAAAAGGGCAGCUGCAAGCCCUGAAAUGCAGCUCGGGCUCCUUUAUCCAAACAAACCGCAAGGACAAACCUCCGGCAGGAGGGCAGUUCGCAGGCGCCAGCUCAGGGACACGUGUACGUGCCCGGGGCGGGAAGGCUCAGCCGGCUGCACGGCAAGGGGGUGGCCAGGGAUCCCCGCGGGACCACGACGUCGCCGGGGUGCCGCCGCCACGGGGCGUUCCAUCUCGGGGGCUCUGCUGCCCGGAGCUCCCGGCGGUCCCCGUCCGGCGGGGACACCCAGGUGGGUCCCGGCCGUGCCCAGGCCCUUUCGGCCGCCCUCUCCCAUUGCAACGUCCCCGCGGGCCCC